ACUGAAAAAAAUUAUUUGAAAUAAUAUAUUUCUUUAAUAUCUCAUCGAAUAAUAAUUACUGUAAUAUCACCAAAUAACUAAAAGAGUAGAGUGAUCCUUAAUUACUAUAAUUGUCGAAGAAUGAAGAAAAAGAAGUGGAUGAUUUUUUCAACUUCAUCUGGACAUGAUAAAAAUACCUCGAAACAUGUUCCUGAAAUGAACAUCAGUUCGCAUAUUGCAUUUGUCGGAGAAGUACUCGACAUAGUUCUAGGAAGAAAAUUUUUACUAACCAAUCUCCAAAUGGACGUCAACGCUGAGAAGAAAAAAGGAAGAUUGAAAGUAAACAUGCCUCUCCGUUUUUGUAUACGGAGGACUGAUAAAUAGAAUUUUCAACAAUGUGAUUACAAAAUCAACAUCCAUGGAGACUAAAAUUGGAAGAGGCAGAAGAUUAUGAUACUUUUAUACAAAGGAAGAAAAUUUUUACUAACCAAUCUCAAAAUGGACGUCAACGCUGAGAAGAAAAAACGAAGAUUGAAAUUAAACAUGCUUCUCCGUUUUUGUAUACGGAGGACUGAUGAAUAAAAUUUUCAACGUUGUGAUUACAAAAUCAACAUCCAUGGAGACUAAAAUUGGAAGAGGCAGAAGAUUAUGAUACUUUUAUACGAAGGAAGAAAAUUUUCACUAACCAAUCUCAAAAUGGACGUCAACGCUGACAAGAAAAAACGAAGAUUGAAAGUAAACAUGCUUCUCCAUUUUUGUAUACGGAGGACUGAUGAAUAAAAUUUUCAACGUUGUGAUUACAAAAUCAACAUCCAUGGAGACUAAAAUUGGAAGAGGCAGAAGAUUAUGAUACUUUUAUACGAAGGAUAUCUCAAAAUCGACGCCAACGCAAAAAAAUGAAAAAUGGAGGCCCAAAGUCAACAGGGUUAUGUGCUCACGUGUUUUGAGCCAAUUGGAAAACCAAAACUAAUGUGAAAUGGAAUCGGAAGCCGUAUAAAUGGUGUGAAGUCUGUAUAUGUAGGUAUAACCAAGAUGCAUAGAACGGUGUAAACAGUCGGUGACAUAUUUUCGUCAAACGAGAGGGUAGAUACUUCACAUUUCGCCGAUAUAUGCUGAAAUCAAGUAAUUUGUGGAAUUCACCUGAUGUAACUCUUUGCUUGUUCGAAAGAUGGCGUCGUGGACUGCGCAUCUCUUGGAGGAUCGGCACAGUUCAUAGUGAAAAUGGAGGAAAUUUCUUUCUACUGGGUGAUUCAGGAUACCCCCUGAGGUCUUGGUUACAUACACCAUCAAGGAAUACUUCAAGUGGUCAGGGGGAACGAUUCAAUAAGCAAUUCAAGAGAAUAAGAAUCAUCAUAGAAAGGUGAAAUGGCUUACUGAAAAACAGGUGUCGCUGCCUCUUACAACAAGUACUCCAAUGGUUGGCACGAAAUCGUAGAGGAAAACAAAUCAGAUCAAUAAUAAAAAUUAUCAACCAAAGAAGGCAGUAUCAAUAAUAUUGGCGUGUUGUGUGCUGCAUAAUAUUUGUGUGGAAAACAACAUUGAAGAACCAGAAGAAGAUGAAGAAUCCAUAAAUGCUGAUCAGGGAAUUAUUAAUGAAAGAAAAGAAUGUCGUUAAUAGACAGAAACCCAACAGUUGAAGAUGAUCUAAGCGCUGGCCGACAGUUAAGACAGUCGAUUAUUGAGAAUAAAAAAAAACAAGGACUCUUCUGACGGAAGGUGUAUAUGGCACUCAGUGCCAUACUGACUUAGAACAUAGAAUAACAGGUGGAAGCAUAACGUCCCAAAACUAAUGAACAGAAGAGCCUGUGAAAAUGGCUCUUUCACGGCUAGCAGUGGCGUACUAGGAUAAAAAUUUUAUUCAUUCAAUACAUACAUUUCUGUGGAAAUUGAUAAUUUCAUUUCAUCAGAAAAUAUAGCUGAAAGCUAGCAGAUAUAGGGGUACAUUGAACUUAAUAGGUAUAAAUUAAUAACUUUUAUUAACAAAUUGAAUAAUUACAAAAAUUAUCAGUAAUUAUGUACUAAUGUACCUACUAUAAUGGAAUAAUUGUGCUUGAAGAUGAUGGUGUGGAAUGGGUGGGUUUGGUUUUUGUACCUGAAGAUUUAGGUGUGGAUUGGUUUUUUUUUUUCUUGUGCCUGAAGAUGAUGGUGCUGGUUCUGGUGUGUAGGGCGUCUGUGGUACUGCUGAGGGGGGCGUGUUUGGUCCUGCUGAGGGGGGCGUGUGUGGUCCUGAUGUUCUGGGCGUGACUGGGGAUCCUGGUGAUGCUUCUAUGGAUUGGGUUGUGGUUGUUGUUACUGAUCGUGGUGUGACGGGCGUGACUGAAGAUGCUGUUGAAUUUAUGAAUACCUCUAUGAGAAUUUGCUCUGUCGUAUUGACUACAUAUAAUAUAAUUAAUUGUUAUACUUACGUAAUGGCGAAGUUCCCACUGUAAUACUGUUGUUCAGCCGAGACAUUAAGGACUCGAAAUCGUUCAGUACUAGUUUUUCUUCCAGUGGUUCUCUCAUAAUUUCCACGUGGUGGAAAGAAGUCCAUGUUGAACGAAUAUGCGGAUAAUUCUUCACCAUUACCAUCAACAGUUUUAAGUGAUUAAGGGCAAACCCUUUAAAUUUCUGCACCCUCACCGGAGAAAUAAACUCCCUAUUUGGGGAGAAGGACCUUAUGAUGGCCUUCAUGGUAGGAGCAUUGUUCAAUAUAUGGAGUAUUUGUACAUAGUCCUUUCCCUCUUGAACUAACUGAUACAUGAGCUCGAUAAUCACCUUCAUGAAAAUCCUCCCUUUAACCCUCGCAUGCAGAAGCUUACCCAAAUGGUACUCCAUGUCUUCUUCAUUUUUGCACAGUUUGCAAUCAUACAUCUUUAUUAUCUCUGUAAGAAAAUAUUUUAUUAAUGGACAUUAUAAUUAUAAUCUAUUGCCUCUCAUGUAUAUUUUUAAUAAAUAAUGUUUGCGAUCGAUAAGAUUAUUUAAAAUUAUUAAUAUAAGAUGGUACUCACAAAAUUAAUUUUUCUAAAUGGACAACGCUCGACUAGUUCUAUCUCCUACAGCAGCUAAACGGAAAAGAAUUGAAAAUCCCUCCUUAAUCAUCCUAGUCAAUGUUUAGUUCAAAUUCUAUGACUUCAUUUUAAAUAUGUAGGUCAUAGUAUUUACAAAUAGUUGAAAUUUUUAAAAUGCAUUCAAUUCAAUAGCGUCGAAAUAUUAUUUUUUAUAUAGUCUGAUAGUAUAUUUGUAUGAAUUUCAAUUCGGUUUAUACUCAAGUGAGAAAUAAUAUCUUUAUUCAAUUAUUAUUAUUGUUUAUGUUACUUCCCGUUUCAAUAGAUGUCGCUGCCGCAUAUAAUUGCUAUGCUUUCAUUUGAAUUGCGACAAAAUAUUAUUUUUUAUAUAGUCUGAUAGUAUAUUUGUAUAAAAUUUAAUUCGGUUUAUAUUUUAGACAAUAAAUAAUACAUAUAUUUACCUA